CUCGCUUCUCAGCUUUUUGCCUAAGAUCAAGUGUAGUAGCUAUUCUUAUCAGUUUAAUACCUGAUGCAUCCCCUAUCUGGGGGCCCAAAUAUUAAGUUGAUUUUUGCAGCAGGGAGAUGGAACAGGGGCUUGCCCAUUCCACUCCACGCAUCAACUUGGUAUUGCAGGAAUGGUGCAAUUUCC